GAUUUAAGAUGUCUAUCAAAAUAUUUUAUUCUGUUUCCUUAAAUCAUUUGUUUAUAAUUGUAUUAUAGUAAUAUUAUACUGAAACAUGUAUCUAUUCGGAACACGAGUUAUAGGUUUAUUAGUUUUUUGUAGAACUGGGUGGAGAAUUUGGUUACGGCGGACGAGUUAACGGCCAUCAUUAAUAUCGAAACAGAGAUGGAAGACUCGGAGCCUUCCGACAGUGUAGAAGUCAAGAAUUCGGAUUAAGUUUUAUAGCCAAUCAUGAUGUUAUUGUGUCUCGGACUAAACGCAAACCUGAUGGUCCAGACUAAUCUAUUGGAAGAACGUGUAUAUCUUCAUAGUGACUUCUGACAAAAUAAGUCUGUGAAUUGUUACAAUAUGACUUCAGUAGAUCUAGAAAUAGUCCAGCCAGCUGUGGCAGAUUUACAGUUGGUUAUAAAUAUGAUUGAGACAUUGGUGACUUGUAUAACGACAUUGUUUUUAGGCCUCUGGAGUGAUGUAAACGGUCGCUUGCCAUUGUUAUUAACAGCAAUCUCAGGUUAGGUAUAAUCUGCAUUUAGGUAUGUCCUUAAAUUAUAAUAUAAUGCAUUUAAUAUAUUAUAUUGUACAAUCGCUUCAAAUUUAAGGUCUGGUAAUAUCUAACUGCAUGUACAGUGUAUUUUCUACGAUGCCAAGUCUGUCUCUGAAAAUGUUUUUGCCGUGCAGCAUACCUAUUGAUGUUAGGUGUGUUGUAUGCAUUUUUCAGCUUUGGCUCAGUUCUUGGAUCUGCACUGAGUAUACUGUAUGAGUUCAAUAUUAUAUGGUAAAUCUACUACUUAUUCAUUUUGCCUAUCAUGUUUCCAUUGUUGGAUUUCUUUAUACGUGUAUUUUUCAAAAGGAAACAAUAGUCAUCAAAAAGGGUGCGGAUACAAGACUUAUCACUAUGAAACUGGUAAAUUAUAUGUGGCAAACUGUUACAAAAAAUGAUGUGGCUACUUAAGAUCCAUAAUUAUACUAUCUGCAGUGUUCUUAACUGUCAAUUAAAUCUUUUUAUUUGGCAACCAUAAUUGGUUAUAGAUCGAGUACAAUUUUGUUUGUGGGCAUUAGAAAUCGGUUUUGUGUAAUUUGCAAGAGGGCGAAAAAUUAAAAAAUUACAUCCACCUGAACAUACAUGUUUUAUAAAUUGGAAAAAGGUGCAACAAGUAUGGAAGCUGAUGGUGUUGCAGAUGGUUUUAAACAGAGUUUAGAAAUACAUGGUCUAAAAUAGCAUAAACUAAUAGGAGUAGUCAUUUCAGAUGGUUUAUUGUAUGUGAUUUACGGAGAAGUAAAUAAAUCUGAAAAAUUUGUUAAUACUAUAUAAGUGUAUAACCUAACAUCAAUACCUGGUCCAUGGAAUCAUUGUCAAGAAGUAAUAUAAACUUCUGUGUGUUCAGUUGAGUAGUCGUUAAUGGGCCACCACAUUUUAUAUCUAAUUAGCACUAAUAAUAGUCGUUUCGGUAGUAAUAAUACACACAUAUGACUAACUUACGAUGAAACAUAUAUUUAUUAUAUAAAUUUUCUUUUUUUGUGAAUUUUCAAUAAAAACUGUUUUGUAUAAUUUAAAUUAACUAUUGCAUUCUUAAAUACAGUUUAUAUUCAGUAGGUUUAUUCAUAACAGUAAAUAAUAAUUUUUUUUCUCAACAAUACUUUGCUUUAUACUCCAAUACGUAUUCUUAAAUAAAAAAAGACUGGGCCACAUCAUAUGAAUAUAAGUUGUUGUGGGCCACCUACUUUUUAAUAAUAAUACAUUCAAAUCGAAUGAUUAAAUUAUAUUCUAUAAUACAACAAUACAUUUUUUAUGAUUUUACUAUACAGAAUAAUAAGCAGAAAUUUUUUUCAGCAACAUCUUUGAAUACAAUGUCGUCAAAUACAAUAUACAAAUUAAACUUCAUUGGAAUAAUAAUUAAAUAAACAUGGCAUGUGCUGUUUAGUAUAUUAUACACAACUGUAUACCUAAGUUUUUAAUUAAUUCUAUAAAAUCUGUAAUAGUGUUUAAUUACUUUCCACAAGGUAAUCCAUAAGUAUUUUGAAAACGCGAGAGGAAAUCUUGUGGUCUGCCUCACCUUGAUUUGUCAUUAUAUGCUACAAAUAUUUUCUAAUUUUAUUUCUUUAUUUUUAUACAGGGUGCGGAUACAAGACUUAUCACUAUGAAACUGGUAAAUUAUAUGUGGCAAACUGUUACAAAAAAAUGAUGUGCCUACCUAAGAUCCAUAAUUAUACUAUCUGCAGUGUAAACUCUUAAUUUAAUUGAUUUAUUUGGCAACCAUAAUUGGUUAUAGAUCGAAAACAAUUUUGUUUGUGGGUAUUAGAAAUCAAUUUGUGUAAUUUGCAAGAGGGCGAAAAAUAAAAAAUUACAUCCACCUGAACAUACAGGUUUUAUAAAUUGGAAAAAGGUGCUACAAGUAUGGAAGCUGGUGGUGUUGCAGAUGGUUUUACACAGAGUUUAGAAAUGCAUGGUCUAAAAGACAAUAAACUAAUAGGAGACGGAAACUCAAGUGCUACAAAAAGAUUAGCAAACAUUAUGCUUUAUGGCCCUAGACUACAAGUAAUAAAAAUAAAAUGUCGCAACCAUUUAUUGCGAAAUUAUGGAACAAAAUUAAGAGCUAUGAUGUUAAAUAAUAAGUACCAGACUCAGUUAAGAAAUCAUCUAAAAUCAAAUAUGAUACGCUUUAGAAUUUUAGAUGAUUGAAUGUCGCAAUAGUAUACUAGGCCAAACAGCUUACCUAAAAUCAAUAGGUCUACAACAAGAUAUAAAUAACAGUUUUUGACACAUAAUAGGUGUCCAUGACCGAUGAAAGGAACACUUUUGUAAGAAUCUGCCAGCAAAUGAAAAAAAAAAUAGUAUCAAAGUCGCCGAGGAAUCAGAGCUUGUAUAGUGGAUAUACUUUAUAAUCGUUUAUGUGAAAUAAGAGCUUUUUCAAAACAUUUGAAGUCUGUCAAACGUUAUGAUCACACACAUGAACUACCUAGUUGAAGAACUUUCUGUGUGUCAAGAAGAUGUUACUCUAGAAGUUUUGUAAGGUGUAACGUAUGAUAUCAGUGUUAGCGAUGGAUCAACAUUACUGUUUGGCCUGUAGACUAAUGAUGGAGCGUGGUAUUUUAUUGCAAAUAUAUUUCUCGAUAUAUACCUGGAGUAGUCGAUUCAGAUGGUUUAUUGUAUGUGAUUGACGGAGAAACAAAUUAAUCUGAAGAAUUUGUUGAUACUUUUUAAGUGUACAAAGUAACAACAAUACUCGUCCAUGGAAUCAUUGUCAAGAAGUAAUAUAGACUUCUGUGUGUUCAGUUGAUUAGUCGUUAAUGAGCCACCACAUUCCACCACAUCUAAUUAGCACUUAUAUUAGUCGUGUCGGUAGUAAUAAUACACACAUAUGACUAACUUAUGAUAAAACAUAUAUUUAUUAUAUCAAUUUUAUUUUUUUGUGAAUGUUUAAUAAAAAGUGUUUUGUAUAAUUUAAAUCAACUAUUGCAUACACAAAUACAGUUUAUAUUCAG